rnacentral:piRNA from 1 species
UGUGACUUAGUCUGUUGUGGUGAGCUGA